UACGUAGGUGACCAGCGUUGUCCGGAUUUACUGGGCGUAAAGAGCGCGUAGGCGGAUUGUUAAGUCUGUUGUGAAAGCCCCGGGCUCAACCUAGGAAUGGCAAUGGAUACUGGCAAGCUAGAGUGCGGUAGAGGGUAGUGGAAUUCCCGGUGUAGCGGUGAAAUGCGUAGAGAUGUGGAGGAACACCAGUGGCGAAGGCGACUUUCUGGUCUGUAACUGACACUGAGGCGCGAAAGCGUGGGGAGCGAACAGG
rnacentral:rRNA from 1 species